GCGGAAUGCUUUACACAUGCAAGUCGAGCGGCAGCACGGGGGCAACCCUGGUGGCGAGCGGCGAACGGGUGAGUAAUGCGUAGGAAGCUGCCCGAUAGAGGGGGAUACCAGUUGGAAACGACUGUUAAUACCGCAUAAUGUCUACGGACCAAAGUGUGGGACCUUCGGGCCACAUGCUAUCGGAUGCGCCUACGUGGGAUUAGCUAGUUGGUGAGGUAAUGGCUCACCAAGGCGACGAUCUCUAGCUGGUUUGAGAGGAUGAUCAGCCACACUGGAACUGAGACACGGUCCAGACUCCUACGGGAGGCAGCAGUGGGGAAUAUUGGACAAUGGGCGCAAGCCUGAUCCAGCCAUGCCGCGUGUGUGAAGAAGGCCUUCGGGUUGUAAAGCACUUUCAGCGAGGAGGAAGGGGUGUGUGUUAAUAGUACACACCUUUGACGUUACUCGCAGAAGAAGCACCGGCUAACUCUGUGCCAGCCGCCGCAGUAACAC
rnacentral:rRNA from 1 species